GACUUGAAAUCGUGAGGUUUCAAGUCCCUCUAUCCCC
rnacentral:tRNA from 1 species